rnacentral:rRNA from 1 species
CGCCAAAUAACUACGAGUAAAGACUUAAAAUUUAAAAGACUUGACGGUAUUUCACAACAACCUAGAGGAGCCUGUCUAAUAACCGAUACCCCACGAUCAACCCAACCUCAUCUAGCCUCAAACAGCCUAUAUACCGCCGUCGCCAGCCUACCUUAUGAAAGAAACAAAGUAAGCCAAACAGCCUCCACUAACACGACAGGUCGAGGUGUAGCUUAUGAUGAGGACAAGAUGGGCUACAUUUUCUAAUACAGAAAACACGAAUCAACUAUGAAAUAAGAAACUGAAGGCGGAUUUAGCAGUAUAUUAAGAACAAAAUACUUAAUCGAAACCAAAGCAAUGAAAUGCGUACACACCGCCCGUCAUCCCUGCCAACAACCCCUA